AAGGUGGACGACUAUGGAUACACGCAUUUCGCUCGCGUAGUUCUGGGUAUUGGAUCCUCAUCGGCAGGGUCGUUUGUAAACACAUACAUAAGCAUAAAUAAAUUCCUUUAGAUUAAUUGUCUAUACUAAUCGUUUUUAAUACAGUGUUGAAGAAUAAAGUAUAGUUUCUAAUGAAGAAUGAUAUAUAAUGUUACACAACUCGAAAAACCAUAGGUAAAUAUACCUCACAAAUAAUAUAAUGUGUCUGCAAGUGAUAAAUGUGGUUCUUGUUGUAUAUUUUGACCAACAAGAGAAACAAGCUUAUGUGCAUAUUGACAAGGAGCAGGUACUUUUAUAGUACCAGGCCAAUUAUAAUAUAAAUGACAGAGCUUAUAUGUUAAUCGUUGUAUAUGAUCAGGUUUCAUCUUUUUAUUGUCAUAAAUGACAAUAUAGUGAGUAGGUGAUACUGUACCUUGACGUAUAUUCUGAGAAACUAAAAAGAAAUCAUAGAGAGCUGGUUUUGUUAUAUGAGAAUCCACAAUUGUUCCUGGUGGAGGAUUUUUUAGUCCUAUAUUUCAAAUAACCGUGUAUUAAUACGUUUCUGAACUACUAUUACGGUUAAUGUUGGUUGAUAAUUUAUUUCUAUGGUUUUAAAUGUUGCUAAUAAUUGUUUUACUUCAUAUUUAGCAACUGUAUCUAAUUGUCCAUCGCCAACUCCAUCUCGGUACACAAUAAUACGAUCUGGAUAACGUUUAUUUCGCUACAAUAUAAAAAAAUAACGAUAUAUAUAUAUUUAAUAAUAAUAUAAUAUAAUUAAUGGCAAAUUUUACUGUGCCAAGAUGUUAAUAAUUUAUCUAAGCUUGCUACAAAACCAGCUACACUACCUUUCAUUGAUUGGCCAACGCCUGAAUGAUAUACAUCUAUUCCACAUAUCAUACAAUGAUCCUAUAUUGCAAUAAAAUUUAAUAUUAUAUGUCUUUAAAAUUAAAAAAAUGAUAAAUAUUUGCAUACCAUAGGUAUAGCUAAUGCCCAAAGUGCUCCACCUAAUUUACAAUUAAUUUGUAAAGCAAUUUUUUCUGUUAUACUCUUUAAUUUAUCACCACGAGAAAUAGUUCUAGACAUAAUUACUUGAGAAGGUACAGGCAUUUCUACACAGCACACUCUAGACAUCAAAAAAUAUAUUUUUAAUUUGAAAAAAUUUUAAUAUAUAUGUUUUAUAAAA